GGGUAUGUAGCCAGGCAUUCUUUGGAUUGCAGGAAUCCAGGACACCAGCGAUUUCACGCCCGUCCUUGCAGCAAAUUCUAUUUGCAAAUUUAUAUAAUGAUGUUAUAAACGAAGGAUAACAAUAUAAUCAAAUGAAACCUCCGUCUGGAAAUAAGUCUUAUACAAAUUCAAUUCACUUAUUUCCGGACGGCCAAAAUAUGAAUAAUCUAGAACCAAAGUCCGGAAAUAAGUCUUAUACAAAUUCAAUUCACUUAUUUCCGGACGGCCGAAAUAUGAAUAAUCUAGAACCAAAGGACAUUACCAUCCAUAACACAUAUAUAACAAAACAAUCGGAGUAAUUUUGAUGUACAUAAACAUUAACAAAUUUAGGAAAACUAAAAAAAAAAGAAAUUCAAACAGACUUGCAUAUGAAUUUAUUUCUUAGGUCUAGAAUGCUCUAUUUUUCCUCCAAAGUUCAUAUGAUCCAAAGAGGGCCUAAAUGGUUAGUGACGCAGGAAGAAGGUAAUAUAAGAACGAUGAGUCUGCCUGUAAUUUUUGGGGAGAUACUAGGCGUCAGCCGGCUGAUGCAGAUCUUAUGUGUCACCUCUUUGAUUUGUGGAUCCACUUUAAAAGCCAAAUUUUCUCUAAUGCAACAUACUCAUCAUAAGAUUUGUCACUCAAAUCUCAUUGCAAUAUUUAUAAAAAAAGCAUAAUAAUCCUGCAUGUAGUAUAAAAACUUAUCACAUCAUCAAACAUACUUUGUGCGAUUUUGAAAGAUCAAGUAUAUCACAUGGGUGUGGUUGUUUUAAUUUUCUUCAAUUCGAAGACUUUGGUUAGAAAAGGUUAUACAAGAGUAGCGAAAACAGAAAAGUAACAACGGAAAGAAAAGUUACUAAGGAACAUAUAUGAAGAAAC
rnacentral:lncRNA from 1 species